rnacentral:rRNA from 1 species
CCUACGGGAGGCAGCAGUGAGGAAUAUUGGUCAAUGGCCGGAAGGCUGAACCAGCCAAGCCGCGUGAAGGACGACGGUGCCAAGCAUUGUAAACUUCUUUUGUCAAGGGACAAAAUCAGGCUCGAGUGCCUGACCGAGGGUACUUGACGAAAAAGCAUCGGCUAACUCCAUGCCAGCAGCCGCGGUAAUACGGAGGAUGCGAGCGUUAUCCGGAUUUAUUGGGUUUAAAGGGUGCGUGGUGGGAGUGUUAGGUCAGCGGUAAAAGCCCGGGGCUAAACCCCGGAGAGCCGUUGAAACUGGGUGUCUUGAGAUGGCGAGAGGUAUGCGGAAUGCGCAGUGUAGCGGUGAAAUGCUUAGAGA